rnacentral:rRNA from 1 species
GACGAACGCUGGCGGCGUGCCUAAUACAUGCAAGUCGAGCGGAACUGGGGGAGCUUGCUCCUUCCAGUUUAGCGGCGGACGGGUGAGUAACACGUAGGCAACCUGCCCUGCAGAUCGGGAUAACUCCGGGAAACCGGUGCUAAUACCGAAUAGUUUGGCGCCUCUCCUGAGGCGCUACGGAAAGACGGUUUCGGCUGUCACUGCAGGAUGGGCCCGCGGCGCAUUAGCUAGUUGGUGGGGUAACGGCCCACCAAGGCGACGAUGCGUAGCCGACCUGGGAGGGUGACCGGCCACACUGGGACUGGUACACGGCCCAGACUCCUACGGGAGGCAGCAGUAGGGAAUCUUCCGCAAUGGACGCAAGUCUGACGGAGCAACGCCGCGUGAGUGACGAAGGUUUUCGGAUCGUAAAACUCUGUUGUGAGGGAAGAACACGUACCAACUAACUAUUGGUACCUUGACGGUACCUCGCCAGAAAGCCACGGCUAACUACGUGCCAGCAGCCGCAGUAA